rnacentral:rRNA from 1 species
UACGGGGGGGGCAAGCGUUGUUCGGAAUUACUGGGCGUAAAGCGUGCGCAGGCGGUGAUGUAAGACAGGUGUGAAAUCCCCGGGCUUAACCUGGGAACUGCAUUUGUGACUGCAUCGCUGGAGUGCGGCAGAGGGGGAUGGAAUUCCGCGUGUAGCAGUGAAAUGCGUAGAGAUCGGGAAGAACACCAGUGGCGAAGGCGGUCUGCUGGGCCGUUGCUGACGCUGAGGCGCGACAGCGUGGGGAGCAAACAGG